GACGAACGCUGGCGGCGUGCUUAACACAUGCAAGUCGAACGAUGAAGCCGGAGCUUGCUCUGGUGAAUUAGUGGCGAACGGGUGAGUAACACGUGAGUAACCUGCCCUUGACUCUGGGAUAACUGCGGGAAACUGUAGCUAAUACCGGAUACGACCCUCGGAGGCAUCUCCUGGGGGUGGAAAGAAUUUCGGUCAAGGAUGGACUCGCGGCCUAUCAGCUAGUUGGUGAGGUAAAGGCUCACCAAGGCGACGACGGGUAGCCGGCCUGAGAGGGUGACCGGCCAAACUGGGACUGAGACACGGCCCAGACUCCUACGGGAGGCAGCAGUGGGGAAUAGUGCACAAUGGGCGCAAGCCUGAUGCAGCAAGGCCGCGUGAGGGAUGACGGCCUUCGGGUUGUAAACCUCUUUUAGCAGGGAAGAAGCGAAAGUGACGGUACCUGCAGAAAAAGCACCGGCUAACUACGUGCCAGCCGCCGCAGUAA
rnacentral:rRNA from 1 species